GAACCAUAGUUGUUGCUGCUCUUAACUGCUUUUCCUUCCUUAUAUGAAUAGGAUUUUUAAAAAUUGCUUUUUCUCUGGAUUUUUUCUACUCAUACUAUUAUAUCCCUUCUUUAUUGAAAACAGAAAUAUGUAAUAUGUAUUGUUUGACACUAAAAAGACCAUGACUCUCACUUCUGGAAAGGAUAGACACAUAAACAUCUCUCAUUUAUUCAGAGACUUUAGCUUGAGUAAUUUUUUUGUGCCUUCUGAUUUUUUUUUAACUUCUUUAAUUUUUGUCUAAUACUUCCCCUUAAGUACUCUUGCAUAUUUCAAAACUAUUAGUAAAUAAAACCAUUAGAUCCUCUUCAGUCAAAUGGAAUUCUCUUAUUUUAGACCUUCAAAUAAAUCAAUAUAGAUUUAUCCUCUUAAAAUAGACUGGAAUGAAAGUAUUGGGACCCAAUGGUCAGUUGUGCUACAGACUUUUCAUGAGGACAGUUUUUGUCAGCACCGUCUAAUAAAACUCUCUGCAAGGUUGGAAAUGUUUUAUGUCCGCAUUGUCCAAAAUGGUAACCACUAGCUAUGUGUGCUAGCAUACAUUUGAAAUAUGGCUAGGGCAACAGAGGAACCGAAUUUUUACUUUACUUUAAUUUUAAUUUUAAUGGCUAUGUGUGGCUUGUUGGACCUUAUUGGAGAGUGUAGGUUACAUAAAACAAAGAAAAUAUGAAAGUGAUGAAAAGCAAUAUAUUCUUCACAUCCAGACUUUUGAGUUAAAGUUUGCACAAUUGAUCAGUUUUUGUCCUCCUUCUCCCUUACCCUAAACCAGUUUUUUAAAUAUGAUUCCCAUAAUAAAACUGAUUUUGGUGUCCUUUAUGGAAAACAAAAGAUCCUUGCCUUAGCAGUAAGGUAGAGGGCAGGUUUACUAAAGUAUUUCAGAGUAGUUGUCUCUUCAUUUAACUUAAUAUAUUAUUUUGAUAUACAUUCAGAUAUAUCUUAGUUAAUUUUUAAGUUAACAGAACAAAACUCAACUAACAUAUAGAAAUAAUUGAUCUAGCAAGACCAUCCAUGUGUUGCAUUGCUUAAAUAUAAAACAAAUUUUUACUUUGUAAAUACUUUAACCAUCAUCAGAGUCUCACUUAGGGAUGUUUUAGUAUUGAUAAUUAGUAGUUUAGAAUCAGAGGAGACCCUAAACCCAUAUCUAUGACAGUAGUAAUUGAACUGAUUGAUUACAACAUCUUCUUUCAAAUAAAUAUUGAUUAUAAUCAAGUCUGUGUUCCUAUUGGCCCCAACUAUAGUCUUUACAGAAGCCUGGGCACUUGAAACUGGCCAACCCCUGUCUGGAUAUAAAUAUUUUAAAUGCAUGACCAUUCAGUGUUAUUUUUUUUUCUUCAAACCUUUAUUCCUCUUGAUUUUCUACUUCCUUGGCUAAUAUUUUUAUGCCUUCCAUAAAGUUAAGUGAUGUGUGUGUUUUUCUGUAUGUAAUAAAAAGAGAUAGCAUGGAUUAGGGGGGAAGAACUUGUGUUUGCAUCUGCCAUUUCUGAUUUGCAGAGCUAGGAGUGAGCUGCUCACGUACACAGUCCACAGAGCUAAGAUAUCAGUAGGCAGUUUGCUGUAAGCAUACGUUUAAUUAUUAAAAUAGUCGACAUUUUAUGUCUGAUAGCCAUCGCGAGGUCAUGACAUUAAUUUAUCCAGAGAAUUGUGGGCAACUGUCUGGAAAGAAAAAAUAGUAUAAAGGACACAGAUGCUGGAGAGCUAAAAAAAAAAAAAGAUGACUCUUUGAGCAAAGAGACUUUAAAAGUUGAUCAGUAGAUUUAGAAGUAGAACGAGAGGUAGAACAGGAAGUAUUGAGCAGGCGUCUCACUUUUACUGACGAUAAGUAUUUAAAGCUAUGCUAUGCAUGCAUUAAUUUCUGUUACAGUUUUUCAUUAACUUCUAAACUUGAACAAUAUUCCUGAAUCUGGUUUCUGCAGUCUAAUUUCAUGUUAUUUGGUGUUUCAGUGCUCAGUGAUUUUUUGCUCUUUAUUCUGUUCCUUUCUUCCCCUUCAUUCUCCUCCCUCUUCCCAUUUCUACAUUUCCUUUUCUUCCUCCCUUUCUUAUUCUUUUCCAUCCUAAUGAGAGUGUGUACUUAAUUCCAUGUUUCCUUCCAGGGCCCACUUCUUUAUCUGUGUAUUUUGUUUUUGUGCUUGAGUUUUUCUUUCUUUUUUUUUUUUUCUUUUCCUUUUCUUUCAAAUCAGGAGCCUAUAGAAGCUGAUUUUAGAGAUACAUGUCUGCCUGCAGAUACUUCUCUUUAUGGGUUGUGUGAUGUUUUCUUUGGAACCUCUGCAAAUGGUUGUCCUUCACGUUUGUUGCCACAGAUAUGUUGCCAAACUGCUACCUUAGUUGGUCCUGCAGUGCCGCAGUGCAUGCUGGGAUCUGUCUGUGUCAGUAAACUGAAAUUUCAGCAGCACCAGACAGCAUUAGAGUUGGCUUGAAAAUUGCUGUACUUCUCUUCCCUUUGUAUGUAUUUCAUGUAUGCUGCAGAGUCACCGAUAGCUAGCUCUAGAAAGUAAUUCUGCAAUAUUGCUCACGUAGAAAGGAAAGGUAGGCAGUUUACCACAUUCUAUCAUUAAAGGGAACAAUUGAAGAACAAAGGAACCAGAUAAAUACCUAUAUACUGCCUUUUGUGUUGAGAAACACGGUAGCACAAACACGACCGUGUUCAGCUAAGUAUUUUGCUUCCUCUUAGAACAAUGCAUAUAGAUUGUUUUUACGUAUGUACACAAAUCCAUGUUUUCUAUAAAUGUAUGAUCAAUCUUUAAUAUUUAUAGCCUGCAAACAUUUCUUAAUCUCAAAAACUUUUACAUAUCACCAACACACAGCUAUUUGUUAUUAUUUUUAAAGUUAAGUAAAAGAAAAAUAAAAAAUUUACUAAUAUCCUGUUGGUUGAUUUCAUUCCGGCAACUUAAGAUUUCGCCACCGUUUAAAUCAUAUUGAUGAUUCAGAUGCUGGCAGAUCUUAUAAUUCUUGUGAAAUGAGAGCAUGGCUAAUAAAAAUAUUAAGCAAUUAUUUUUAUUAAAAUAGUAGUUUUUCAUUAUUAAAUAGAAAUGAUUGAUGUAUACAGAUCAGUCUCACUCAUGUGUCUCUUGGUCUGUUUGGGGGCUUCCUAUAGAACUGGAAAGAUUUCUUUUGCCCUUUCCUCAGCUGGGGGAGUGGGGAAGAAGGCAUGAAGUAAAGUCUAGGAUUGUUAAAGAAUUGCUGGCAUUAUUUCUCUAUCACUUGUGAGUCUGGCUGCCUGCUUCCUGAGGUAGUGGAUACAGGAUGGGACUGUGUCGGAGCUUGUUUCCACAACUGCAUUUGGAGAUCUGUCUUAUUGAUUAAGGGGAAAAGGGGUGGGGAUCAGAGUGUGAGGUGAGGGGAGGACCAGCUGACUACUGGCUCAUUGAACCACAAGAUAUUUUCUCCCGGAAACAUGUCAAACAACUGAGACAUAGCCACAGAGAAAGUAGAAAAAAAGGUAGAAAAAUAAGGCGACCCUGGAAGAAAUGAAGGCACUUCUCAUUAAAGCCCUGGGCUUUUUCUUUUCACUCCUUUUCUUUCCUUCAGUUUCUCUUCAUUUUCUUUUCUUUUUCUUUCAUCUUCUGACCUGCAAAGGCUAGAGUGACAGCGUCAUGCAAAUGCUGCAGUCCCGCAGGUCUGGGAGAGGGUGGAUGCUAGACUGCGAGUUAAUGUUAAUGAUGAGCGCAGUGAAAAUACCAGCCGCCGCCACCCCCUGCACACAGAGCGCUCUGAGUCAGCAUCAGAUGCUUUGCCUCGCCUCUUGCUGGGUGUCUGUAUGCCUGUGCGCGCGCGUGCUCGCUCGGGCAUCCGUGUCUAGCUGAGGGGAGGGGGUGGCGUGUGAGUGCGUGGAGGGUAAAAGCCAGUCAGUCAGUGAGAAGCAAAGAUCAACCACUUCAGAAGAACCAGAUUCCACUUCUGUGGCCAGGACUUUUAUGUUAUGGCUGGUCCGAUUGUUUUACCCUUCGUUCUAUGCUACUAAACCUUGGAUCACUCCUAAAGUACAAAAUCUGUUCUCGAACCACAAACAAGGCUAAAAGAUCGGAGGAAAUUCAGUGAAUAUACAGGAUUGGGAUUGUGCAUUUUCAAAAGUAUUGAGCUUUCUAAUGCAACUAUUUAAGAUAUAGAAUCAUUUUUUUUCUUACGUUACCAGCAUUUUAAGUUACAUGUUUAUUAAGUGGCAUUGCUCAAAUAGCUACAGAGUAUGCAUGGAAAUAUUUGCUGUCUGAAUAGUAUGGAGAUUCAAAGAGAAAAAUCAAGCUUCAGAGGUAUUAAUUAUGACAUGCAAAAAAAGUUUUUGUUUUAGUCUUAACUGUAACAGUAUAUAUUUAAAACAGAUUUAAGGUGUUAUAUGUCCUGGGCCCACCUUAACAGUUCUGCUGUUUAGAAGUGUAAUGGGAAACAAAAUUUCAAUCAGGGUCCCAUUAACUGGGAUAUAAUCCUUCUUUGAUGUAAUAGAGGCUAUGAUGUUGCUGUACAAGUCUGCUAGAAACAGAUUUUAACCCAUUUUAGUUUCUUUCUUUCUUUGGAUCUAAUGUAAUGACUCUUAACUGUUCAUUGUUUGCAUUGUUUCUCAUAUUCUUCAUUUUUUUAAGGUCUGGAAUUGCUCUGUAAAUGGUCGUCGUGAAUAUUCAGCUCAUCCUAACUUUUAUGUAUCAUUUAUAUUUCUACGUAUGUAUUUUAAUUAGUAUUUAUAGGAAAAAGUUUAACUGAACCCAACUGUAAUUUCUAAGCUUAUAACUGGAAGAAGAAUUCUACUGCAUCAAACCAGACUUUUCCUAGUCCCUGAGACCCUAACUUGUGAGGUAUUUUAGUAACAUCACAAGUCAGGCUCUUGGGACCUAGGCGGAGGGGAACCAGCAGCUUUGGACCUUAUUGAUUGUCUGCAGUUACCACCAGAACAAAAGAACAUACAUAGAUUCUGCCUAGAAGAAAAGAACAAUGCUCUUCUUUAUAAUCAGCGAUGUUUUCACCAUGACCCACCCCCCAAAAUACUAUUUUCAGCAACUGUACUCUAAAGUGAUUACAGAGUUUCACUGAAUCGCAUUUAUAUUAUAUUAUAAUGACCGUAUAAAAGCAGUAUAAAAUAGCUGGGUAAGAAACAAAAUUAAAAUAUAAGUGUUUUUAAAUUGCUUCCUUUGGUAUACUUUAAGGUGGCUGGUCUAAGAAAAUACCUCCUUCGUUAAUAAUGAAGAGAGUGGUUUAUAACUUUUUUUCAUAUGCAUAGAAUAUUUACAUUAUCUACUUAAAUAAAACCUAUAUAUCUCCACGUAACUAUGGCUCAGAAUAUGUACUAUAUAGCUAUAAUCAUGCUUGAGGCCUAGAAAUAAAAUGAUUUACAGUUUUUUUUAACUGACCCUAUUAAAUUUUACUACUAAUUUAAGAAGAAUGCUGCUUUAUAAUUGGUAUUUAUUGUCAGAGUAUUCCUUAGUUUUUUAACCAGGCAAAAUACUUUAUAUGUCUUUUUAUAAUAAGACAUUCUCUUAUAAGAGUUUAAGUGAGAGUUAUAAAUAAUUAGCAAUAAUAUUGUACAUUUUAGUUUUUAUAUUUUAGUUUGUAUAUAUCAUGGAACUGUGUGAGAUAAAUUAGUAAACACCACCUAUGAAGUCAGACUGUUCUGAUUCAUCUAUCAGCUGAAACUGAAAUGCAUAUUUUUAUAAGAAUUUUAGUUGUAUAAGAGGUACCUAUUCCAACUAUAGCUAAUAUGUCAUAUUUGAACAUUAUUAGCCAUUGACACAGCAAAUAUGUAUUUUUUAGAAAUAGAAUCAAUAUAUUAAAUCUAUUUUAAAAUUUUACAAUAAUGUUACAGAUAUUAAGAUUCAAAAUGGAUAUGAGAGACUCUAUAAUAGAAGAAACAAAGCAAUUUCACUCUUUUAAUUCUAAUGCUUUACAUGGGUACUAUAAAUUUAUGUAUUCUGCAUUAUUAAAAUAAAUUUAUGAAUGUAUUUUAGAAUACUUUAUGGAGUCUUUGUUCACCUUGGAUGUGUUACAAUUACUUAUGACUUGAAAUAUCACAGAAUACAAAUAACCCAUGAAUUAUAUUUCUUAAAAAAUUGGCAUUACAAAAUUAUAAACACAAGGCACAUAGAAUAGGUUUAAGUACAUACUCACACUGUACUUAUUCAGAUUAUUUACUUAUGUCACCUAUUUAAUAUCUCUAGAAUCUCUGAAAUUUUAAGUGUGUGCAUGUAUGUAUAUAGGCAUAUGUUUUAAAUAAAUGAAAGGAGGUAAUAUAAACAGUAAAGAUUUUUGGUAGUAUUUAUCUUUUACUUCUUUUAUCUUCAUUAUUGUAAUUAAACAUUUUUCAAAGCAUAAUUUUCUCAAUACAAAGAACUCUGUAUUUGUUUAAAUAGAAGACUAUGUAUAUACAAGUACACAGAAACUUGAUUAUAUUUAAUAGCAAUGUUUAUCCAAUGGAUCAGUAACUACCUCUUAUAUAAAACAACAGAUACAUGUUUACAGAUGCCUGUUUUAACAUAAUUAUGUAUAAUAUAUGUAACAUGUUCCAUCAAUUUAAUUCUAAAAUAAUGUAGAGGAUAGAUGUUUAUUGGCUAUAUGAUAUUAGCUAUUUCAAACACGGUAUUUUCUUUUUACAUUAUCAUAUUUAUGAACCACACUAUAUAUUAAUUUCUGUUUCAUAGAAGAAAGGUACCAAAGCUGAAUUUAGAAUGCAGUGAUGUUUAUUUCUCUCUCAUAAACAUAUAUAAAAUAUGUAUUUUUUACUAAUCAUAUAUGCAUUCUUUGAACCCUUUCUGUGUAACUUUUCUAUAUAUAAACUGUCUUUUCUGAGAGUAUCAUUGAUAAAGCAUUUCUCUCCUUCCAUAAAGGUGAGUAAAAAUAUAAAUGGGUGACUUUGUUUAUAUAAACUUCUUUAUGCUGUAUCUAGAUAGAUGAAUGACACUUUUUCUGCAUUUCUAUCGUAGCUGUCACAGGAUAAUAUUGUUUUGAGGCUGUAUAAAAUGAUUUGGAAAAUCAGAUCAUACUAAGCUUAAAAUAAAAGGAGAGAUCUACAACAAAGAGCGAGGAAAUGAUGUGUGUUGCAUACAAAAAAAGCAGUGAUAUUAACAAUUCGAUGGCUUCCUGGUUGGGAGACCAGCCUGAGCCAGACGCAUAUAUUAAGGUGUCUGAUGAUUUGUGAGCACCAAGUGACUAUUCUGUGGAAUCAUCUUUCCUUGCCUUUGAAAUAGCUUUCCCUAGACCAUGAGUCACCAUCAAUAUUUUAUUCAUCCGAAUUGAAGAACGAGAAUCAUAAUCUUUUGGGGAACCAGCAUCAGAUCCCCCUCGGCUCCUAUUUCAGAUGCUGUUAGAACUAAUCCUGAUGAUGAGUGAUUUUACUUGAGCGCUAUCUGCAGAUCAACAAGUAUUCUCUGAGGCAGGAUCAAGGUCAGAGAAGGUGAUGUUUUGACUGAAGCAGAGAGAGAUCUGAAGAUAUUACUUUUCUGGCUUUGAAAAUGGAGAAAGGAGCCAUGGACUCAGGAAUACAGGCCAACUCUAGAAGCUGCAAAAGAUUGUGAUAUGGCCUUUGGAUGAGCCUCAGAAAAUGUUCUGUUCAUCAUAAGAUUAAGCUCAACUAAAACAGACACAUGAAUUAGCAAAAGCCUUCCAGGGAUUCCAUAUUGUCUGAAAGAGACCACAGCUUGUCUGGAACAUCUUCAUGCCAAUCAUUGAGUUCAUCUAAAACCCCUAAGACAGAAGGGAAAAAGUUUUUGAAUCUUCUUUGCCGCUGAAGUUGCAGAGGUGGUCUGUUGUAGACUUGAAGUCCCCUAAAAAGCCAGAUUGGCAUGGUUUCUGAGAUCUACAUAAACUUCCAGGUCUACUAAUUCCCAAUUUAACUGCUAAAUACAAGACCCUCAAUUAUGUGAAGUGAAAAUAUGUAGAAGAAAAAACUACAUAUUCUGCCCUGAAGGACCUAACAGGCUAAGAGCAAAGGUAAUGAAUCUAAAGAAACAUCUGGCUAAAUGGUGAAAACUUAAUUCACCCAAUUUGGAGCCAUACUCAUUCUACUUGGACCAAACCUGUGCCUUCUCACUCAUCUCUUAGUAUAGUAAUGGUGCCUCCCAAGACACAUACGUAGCACCUUCCUAAUUUCUUCUCUGUACCAUUCUAUUCCUAUUACCCAUGUUUUAGGUAUUAAAAAAAAAGAAAGAAAGAAAGAAAAAGAAAACCUAAUAUUAUUUCCCCCCUUAAAUAACUAUCUGACUUGUUCCCCUCAUCCCAUAACUUGUUCAAAAUGACAAUUCUAAUAUGCACAUCUGAUCACAUUCCUUAUUGGUAACCUACAAGCUGAGCUAUAAACUUGUAUAGAAGCUAAGGAUUUUACCAUCUCACUCCUCACUGCCUCUCCCAUCUUACUUCUUACCAUUUCCCUCUGUGCAACUUAAGUUUCAGGCAUUCUGAAUUAUUUAGUUGUCCUCGAAUAUGUGAUUAAACACAUGCCUUUGCAUGUGUUCAUCUGUCUAGCAUGCCCUUUUGCAUGCACCUAGCUGUAUACCCUCUAUGGUUCCCUAUGAACUCUUUUUUAUUCUUCAUUCUCAAUCCAAGCAUUUUUUCUUUUGUUAUAUAUUUCAUAAUGUCCUAGAUAAUAAUAUAGUCAUUUAUUCAUAUAAUAGCAUCUGUUGUUCUAUACUUCCAGGUCCUUUUCAACAUGAUGUUAUAUUUGUUCUCAUGUCUGUCUCACCAUCAGACUGUAAACAUCUUGAGGGUAGAGACAAUAUGGUUUUUUUCCAUCUUUUAUUCCAUAUCUUACUGCAAUACUGGACACAUAAAAAAUUCUCAAUAAAUAUUGGGUAAAAAAUACAAUUAUAAAAAGUAAUAACCCCAAAUAGCAUUUAGAAAAUGCUAUAACUAUAAUUGAGUUGAGUUGGGAAAUCAGGAAAGGCUUUAUGGUAUAAGUUAUACUUGAGUCAAACAUAAAAGAAUGCAUAGAAUUUACAAACAUGGAAAUGAAAGGAAGAAAAUGCUUAGCUUGGGAAAUUGCUUGAUCAAUAAUAGGAAGAUGAGAACAUAUUUCCUGUAUACGAGGAACUGGCCUGAAUAGAGAAUGAGUGUAAAAUAAAGAACUAUAAUAAAUAAGGUAGAAAAGUCAGUUUGUGGAAAACAUUGUUAGAAAUUGUGAAUAUCUGGCUAAAGAGUAUAAAUUUAUGUUUUUUAUUUAGAAAAUAAAUUAUGGAUCCAUGAAAGGAUUUUGCAUUUACACAUACACAAGCACACAUAGUCUGUCAGAAAAGGAAAUUAUAAUAAAUUGAGUAGGAAAUUUAGCUUAGGGUGAAAGUAUGAAAGUUCAGAUACAAUAUUUUUCUCUAGAAAAUAUAGAUUUAUUAAAGGAUAAAUAGAUAAUCCUGCUACAAGUGAUCUACAGAUACAGAUACAGCUAUAGGUAUAUAGUUAGAUAGAUACAGAUGAUAUAGAGAUAGAUACAGAUACAGACAUUGACAUAGAUAGUCUGGCAAAUUUAAGGCCAAAGAAUGAAAUAGUAGGGUAUUGACAUAAUGUAAAAGAAAGAUUUUGACAACUUGAAACUGGAUAAUUAUAAUUCAGGAUAUAUAACAUUCCAGGAGAGAUAAUUUACAUAAUUUGAUAUCUGGUUAAUGGAAAUGGAAAUAGGAGAAAGAGAAAAGACAGGGCAGAGAGAGAGAGGAAUCAAAGAACCCAUUGAUUUGGCAUCUUUUAUCUAUUACCUUGUACUAUUAAUUUGCUUUCUUUGCAUAAGCCAGACAAGUUUACUGUAGGUAGGGCCCUUCAUUGUAUAUUUUGAAAUCCUACCCCUCAACAGAAGGUGUGGAGGUAAUCAACAAAAUUGAAUUGACCUGACCACAGCUGGAUAGUUAAUGUGACUUACUCUCCACAGCUGCUGCCAUCUAUGGCAUUUGACUGUUUUCUUUGAAAUUUGGAUCCCCUGGGCAAGGGCAUGGCUAUGUUGACUUACCUGUCUGUGGUUUAUCUUAUGAAUACUGAUCACCAAUCAAAUCCAUACACUGUGCCUUUCAAAGACCUGAGACUAUAUAGCACUUAGCUUCAAUAUUCUUAUAUAGUUCAAUGGCCUCUGCUGUUUAAUUUCACUGCACAUGGGGAAAAAAUGUGCCAGCUUGAGGAAGCACUGUCUUAUCGUAACAGUAAGUACAGUGUUUUAUGUUAAACUUAGUGAAAUGUACCAUGUUUACUAACAAAUUAUUCUUAGCAAAAAUAGCAACAAUUGUGCAUCUACCUAAAGCUCCAAAAAAUACUGUAUUUAUCUUUCGAUAGUAAAAUGUAAAUUUAGAAAAAACAAGGGAAUUAAAACACUGAAUCCUU